rnacentral:misc_RNA from 1 species
GCCAUAUCCAUAUUUUCAUCACAGACGAAGGAACAUAAACCAAAUACUACAAAAUUACAGGCCUGUAGCACAAAAAUAAGCUAUCCAAACAAUAUCAGUUGCUUAUGGUUUAAAAACAAGGACAUACAUGCAACAGCAUGUCUUCAACCAUGUACCUGUCAACCUGAAUUAACAAGUGAGCUGGGUUUAAUCCAUCUCUUAGAAUUGUAGCUUCUUUUACUAGGCUUAGCUUUCCUGUAUAGGCAAGUGAAAGACAUCCAAACAGAACUUUUAAGCUAUUCUUAUACAUAGAUUCCUUCUCAUUGCAGUGGCUCCUGAGGUGCUCUGAUGCUAUGAUUAUGAACUUCUCCAGGUAAGGGCAGCAAAAAUAGUAGUCUUGGAUCAAGUUUUUCCCCUUAUUCAUCACUAUUUUCACUUCUUGCGCUUGCUCUUCGUAGU